AGAGCUUGCUCUUAUGAAGUUAGCGGCGGACGGGUGAGUAACACGUGGGUAACCUGCCCAUAAGACUGGGAUAACUCCGGGAAACCGGGGCUAAUACCGGAUAACAUUUUGAACCGCAUGGUUCGAAAUUGAAAGGCGGCUUCGGCUGUCACUUAUGGAUGGACCCGCGUCGCAUUAGCUAGUUGGUGAGGUAACGGCUCACCAAGGCAACGAUGCGUAGCCGACCUGAGAGGGUGAUCGGCCACACUGGGACUGAGACACGGCCCAGACUCCUACGGGAGGCAGCAGUAGGGAAUCUUCCGCAAUGGACGAAAGUCUGACGGAGCAACGCCGCGUGAGUGAUGAAGGCUUUCGGGUCGUAAAACUCUGUUGUUAGGGAAGAACAAGUGCUAGUUGAAUAAGCUGGCACCUUGACGGUACCUAACCAGAAAGCCACGGCUAACUACGUGCCAGCAGC
rnacentral:rRNA from 1 species